rnacentral:rRNA from 1 species
CGAAAGCCUGACGGAGCAAUACCGCGUGAGGGAUGAAAGCCUGUGGGUUGUAAACCUCUUUUCUCAAGGAAGAAGUUCUGACGGUACUUGAGGAAUAAGCAUCGGCUAACUCUGUGCCAGCAGCCGCGGUAAUACAGAGGAUGCAAGCGUUAUCCGGAAUCACUGGGCAUAAAGCGUCUGUAGGUGGUUUGAUAAGUCUGCUGUUAAAGACUAGGGCUUAACCCUAGGAAAGCAGUGGAAACUAUUAGACUUGAGUAUGGUAGAGGUAGAGGGAAUUCCUAGUGUAGCGGUGAAAUGCGUAGAUAUUAGGAAGAACACCAAUGGCGAAAGCACUCUGCUGGGCCACAACUGACACUGAGAGACGACAGCUAGGGGAGCA